rnacentral:rRNA from 1 species
AUGCUUAAAUUCCUGGAUGUAAACGCACACUUGCCUCCUACACAGGCCAAAAUACUAUUGGAGAUAAGGAUACUUGUUUUGCAUAUUUGCAUCUCGAAGAAGCUUGCCCGCUAUUGUAAGUCUGACAUUUUCUUGCUUGCUUGUGGAAAAACUAGUUCUCAUUCAGUUAUGCUUGUCAGUCUGAUAGAAGAUGGACACCCCUCUUCAAGUUGGUUUAUGGGCUUGCGGAGUGUGAGAAACCCCUGGUAUGGCUCCAUCCUUCGUCCCUUGCUCCGUGGCCUGGAUGUCGAGGGAGGGCGAGAGGUGGUGAUAUGUAGGGGUGAGGGAGAUGGAGGCGGUGGCCUGCAGCUCCUAUUGAAGGGGCGGAGAAGAGGGGGUGCGGAGAUGAGAGGCUAUUUUUGUUUAUUCCAUCAUGCAGUAUUUCUGAGUUGGUUCACUCUGAAAAAAGCAGUUUUUCUGUACCAAUGGGGUGACAUUACACUACUCUUCACUUCCACAGGCAAUGGAAUACUAAAUAACCUGGCAACGGAUACCCUGUGGUCUACCAUUAUAAUUAUGUGUGCAUUUUGGAUCUAUUGGAUGUCUGAAUGUAAUGCUAAUUGA